UUCAAUAGCACACAUAUUGAGGAUUAAAUUAGUGUUAAAAGAAUUCUGUUCCGAUUAAAAUUGUGGGCGUGGCAUGUGUUUAGGCGUAACAUCAAAAUGCAAGUGAGAAACAAGCCCUGCAGAACUCAUUUAAACAGCAAGGAAGGAGAUCCAGCAGCAAAAAUCUGUUGUGAUGAGUCAAGCUGCACAUCUGGAAAUAAAGGACAACACCAUCCAGGAGUUACAGGAAAAAUUAAAAAACAAAAUGCAGGAAACUAAAAUGCUUGUCCAAGCAUUUGCUGAAGGAAUGGAUGCAGACUGGAUAGAUGACCAAGAAGGACAAGCAGGUCCAUCUUACAGUGCACAUGACAAGCUCACUCACCAUGAGGCCACCUGAUCAGAUGCCAGCACCUCGCUGAUGAACCACUUCCCAGA